rnacentral:rRNA from 1 species
UACGGGGGGGGCAAGCGUUGUUCGGAAUUACUGGGCGUAAAGGGCUCGUAGGCGGCCUUCUAAGUCAGACGUGAAAGCCCUCGGCUCAACCGGGGAACGGCGUCUGAGACUGGAAGGCUUGAAUCCGGGAGAGGGAUGCGGAAUUCCAGGUGUAGCGGUGAAAUGCGUAGAUAUCUGGAGGAACACCGGUGGCGAAGGCGGCAUCCUGGACCGGUAUUGACGCUGAGGAGCGAAAGCCAGGGGAGCAAACGGG